AGUUCAUGUAUAUAUAAGAAAUAAAGUUAAAUGCAUCAAGUUUCUUGUAAAUAAUAAAAAAAAGUUAUAUAUAAACUAUAAAUCAACUGGAUAAGCACCUAAAUAAAUAGAAAUAUGAUAUGAAUUAUGAUUAUUAAGGUUACUACAAAAUCUAAAUAUUCCUCUCACUUUUUCAAUACCAUAUAACUGUGGAUUCAUUAUUAUUAAUGAGGGGAAAUAACUCUUCAUGGAUUUCCAGGUUAUUGUGGAUUCAUUUAUUUUCGUGGGUACCAAUUUUCGUGGAUUGAGGAAAACUUACAUGUUCGUGGAUAUUUAAUUUCAUGGCUUUGGCGAAAUCUGCGUACAAGCCUGUAGAAAAUUGGGUAUUCGUUGAAUAUUUAAUUUCGUGGUUCAUCUGCUCCAACGAAAUCCACGAAAAUUGGUAUCUAAUGAAUAAUAAUGAAUCCACAGUAUUGGUGAAAUUUUCUAAAAGCUUGUUACUUUUGAAUGAAGACUUUGGCAAAACAACAAAUUCGAUAUCCACGUAAAAUACAAUUUCUUAUCAAUCUACGAAAUUGUUAUCCAUGAAAAUUAAUGAAUCCAUAGCAUAUACUAGUUACACUUCUUUCCAUAUAAGAUAUAUUCUUUAAUAUAUUUUUAUAAUUUGUUUCCUGUUUUUAUUUUUAUUCAGUGCAUUACUGCUCAUACUAUUUGGUAAUCUUCCUAAGAAAUAUCAAAUGCAUAUUGAUAAUAAGUUUUGAACUAAACAAAAAGUGACUACCAGUAUUUCAAUUCUAAAAAUCAAAUCUUUCCAGCAUUCCUAUGAAACAUUUAAAAAGUUUAAGGAAAAUACUGAGCUCCAAUGUCUGAAAU
rnacentral:lncRNA from 1 species